GGGUUUUGGGGGUAAAAAAGGGGGAUUGGGGGCAAAAAGGGGAAAAAAAUGAGGGGUUUAGGGGGUUGUGGGGGGGUUUAUGGGGUUUUAGGGGGGGAUUUAUGGGGUUUUGGGGGGGAAAUUUGGGGUAAUUAUGGAGGUUUUGGGGAUGAACUUAUGGGGGUUUUGGGGGAGGAAAUGAAUGGGGGGUUUUGGGGUGAAAAAUGGGGAUUUGGGGCAAAAAGGGGACAAAAAUGAGGGGCUGGGGGGGUUAUGAGGGGCUUGGGAGGUUUAUGGGGUUUUUGGGAGGGAUUUAUGGGGUUCUGGGGGGGAUUUGGGCCAAAAUAAGGAAAAUUUGGGGUGAAAAAGAGAGAAUUUGGGACCAAAAAUGGGGGAUUUGGGGCUGAAACAGGGAAAAUUUGGAGUGAAAAAGGGAGAAUUUGGGGCCAAAAAUGGGGGAUUUGGGGUGAAAAAUGGGGGAUUUGGGGGGAUUUUGGGGUGAAAAAUGGGUUUAGGGGGAUUUUAGGGUGGAUUUGGGGACUCUAUGGGGAUUUUGGUUUGAAAAAUGGGGGUUAGGGGGCAGGAAAAUUGGGAAUUUGGGGUUUUUUUGUGGGGAUUUGGGUGAUUUUGGGGUGAAAAUUCAUUAAAAUGGGGGGAUUUGGGGGAUUUUUGUGGGGAUUUGGGUGAUUUUGGGGUGGAAAAUUGUGGUUUGGGGAAUCGAUCAAAAAAAAAAUAAUAAUAACAACACUUUUCAGUCUCAGAAAUGGGUUAAAAAAAGGCAAAUUUGGGGCACGGAGAAACCAAGAAUUGAUUAUAUUCAUUUUUAUUUCUUAUCCUCACUUCAUUCCGGGGCAGAAAAACCUCGAAAUUCUCCCAAAAUACCCCAAAAAUCUUCUCGGUUUUGGGUUGGGGGGGAUUUAGGGGAAAUAUUUGGGGAGGGGGGGGGACGGAAUUGAGACCCCCACCCCAAAAAUGGAAGUGAAUGGGGCUGCUCCAACACUGCGGGUCCUCAUGGCCGCCCCAAAGGGGGAGGAUUUGGGGGAAAACACACCUCAAAAGUGCCCGAUUUUGGGGUUUUUUGACCCAUUUUGGUCAACGGGAAGAUGGGAGAUCCAACGAGUGGGAUUUUGGGGGGAAAAUACACCUCAAAAGUGCCCGAUUUUGGGGUUUUUUGACCCAUUUUGGGCAACGAGAAGAAGGGAGACCCAACGAGUGGGAUUUGGGGGGGAAA
rnacentral:lncRNA from 1 species